GGGUCUUUAAAAGUGGAAGCAGGAGGAGAAGAAGAGUCAGUCAGUGUCAGAGAGACAUGAUGUGAGACUCACCCUGCCAAUGCCGGCCUUGAAGAUACAAGGAGUCAAGAGCCAAGAAAUGCAGACAGCCUCUAGGAGCUAGAGAAGAUAAGGAAACAGUUUCUCCCCUAGAACUUCCAGGAAGAAAUACAUCCCUGUUGACAUCUUGAUUUUAGCCCAGGGAGUCUAUCAUCAGACUUCUGACCUCCAGGAUGCUCUCCUUGAUGGAACCAGCGUGUGCGUCCCCCAACUGCCAUAAAUCUUGGCUGCUAAGGGUUCACGGCUGGUCUUCUUCUCCAAAGAACCAUCAUCACUGGAGUAGCCUCUUUACCCAGAAGAAAUUAUUCCCUCCACCCUGGGGGCACCCAGUGCCUGAUAAUUGGGCUGGAAAGGAGGCUGACCCUCUUGUCUCAAGAUCACUUACAUUAGAACCUGGGGCCCACCCUGGAGCUACUGGAUCAGAACCUGGGAUGAGGCCCUGGAAUGUCCACUUUGAACAAGAGAUUCUCCUAAGAGAUUCUGAUGCCCGCCAAAGAUUUAAGAUCCCUGGCCCAGAGGACCGGGCCUGAGCUGUGGGUUUACAGCUGAGUUUCAGGCCCCAACCAACCACAACCCUUCUGGAUGUGUGAUCUUGAAAAAAUUACACUGAGCUACCUCCACAAAAGAGACUCGACAAUAUUUGCCUCCCUCAAUAAUCAUAAGGACAAUUUACCAUUUUGGGGAGCACCCACGGAGUGCCAGGCACCGUGGGAAGCACUUUGCAUAGGCGAUUUCAGCGUGCAUUCUUGUGAACUCCCAAAGGAAGGGAAUAAUUUUACGUUUCAUCAGGGGAUUCUGCUGUGGGCAAUAUUAUGCCCAUUUUAUAGAUUAAGAAACAGAGGCUUAUUAAGGCAAGUCACUCGUUCAAGGGUCACACAGACCCGUAGCUGCCAGUUUUAGGUGCACCGCAGGGUUUUUGGCUGUGCCCUGAGGACUUUUUACUACCGAUCUUCCCUGGGAGACUGCUGUGCUGGCCUCCCAGCCCUUAUUCGGUAUGAAUGUCCAGGAUUCUGUUCAAGGAUAACACAGAAAAGAACCUAAUCAGAUUUCAACAAGAGGAUCUCAGCUGUGAAACCGGUGCCAACUUUCCAACAUGGCAAGCAGGAAAUGAGUCUGCUGGAAUCUUUCACCAACUCGGGAAACAAGGAAAGACACUUAGAAUGAUCAGUAAGUGAAGGGAUCUUGGUGUGUGUCCUGUUCUGGGGAUGGGGUGCAGUCCCAUGAUGAUAAGCAUCCUGAUACCCCUGGCCCCCAAACCUAAUUCACUUUUACCUAAUGCCAGUGUGAGGGCUUUUGCCACGCACAUAAAUAUCCUUCCAGCUCCCCUUUCGAUGCAGGAAAUAACUGCUAGGGAGGGUGAAGGCGAAAGUGAGCCCACGUCACAUGAACUCCACUCAAGGACCUCUUUUUGUCCUGGGCCAAUUAGCUGACAGGGUUUGCAGGUUUCCCCAAGUGGAGCUGGUCACAAUCGCUAAUUGGGAUCUUUCAGGAAGCAGAGACAGAAAUGAAUUGAUGGAAGUGGGCAGCGCUUUCCUUACAUUAUCGGCUUUGCUUGAAAAUUCUGUUCAGGAAAUUUGUGGGCAUUAUUUAAUAAGUGCUUCUUUGACCCCAGACUUCCAUGGACUCAUUGUGAAAACACCCGAUUGGUGAAAUGGCGUGAUUAUCUGAGUAACGCGGGGCAACGUGACAUGUAAGCACAAAUGAAACCCAAACACUUGCACAAAGGCAUGGUGUGGUUUACUCUUGAACAUCAAGACUCUAUCCCAUAUCAUCGUGGCGGCGGUAGACU
rnacentral:lncRNA from 1 species